UUUAAAAUAUAAGUAUGUCUCAUGCAAUAUUUAGGAGAUACUUACACUAAAA
rnacentral:pre_miRNA from 1 species